rnacentral:rRNA from 1 species
AAGUAUAAGUAUUGUACAGCGAAACUGCGAAUGGCUCUAUUACAUCUAGUUAUAGUUUAUUGAUAUUGAAGUUACAUGGAUAACCGUGGCAAUUCUACAGCUAAUACAUGCUUCAAAACCUGACUUCGGAAGGGUUGUAUUUAUUAGAUAUUAAACCAUCCCCCUCGGGGCUGUGAUGAAUCAUAAUAACUGAUCGAAUCGAGGUUCGCCUUGAUAAAUCAUUCAAGUUUCUGCCCUAUCAGCUGUAGAUGGUAGUGUAUUGGACUACCAUGGCUAUUACGGGUAACGGAGAAUUAGGGUUCGAUUCCGGAGAGGGGAGCCUGAGAAAACGGCUACCACAUCUACGGAUGGCAGCAGGCGCGAAAAUUGCCCAAUCCCGAUUCGGGGAGGCAGUGACAAGAAAUAACAACCCAGAACAUUGUUUCCGGGAUUGCAAUGAGAACAAUUUAAAAACCUUAUCGAGUACCAACUGGAGGGCAAGUUCUGGUGCCAGCAGCCGCGGUAAUUCCAGCUCCAGUAGCG